CAGGCCCAGCAUUGGCCAUGCUGACCCACCCAAUGCCAUAGUGCUUCAACUUGAAGUUCUCAUCUGGAAACGUCUCACCAUAGAUGCUCACACCUGAGACAAAACAAGGAGGAGAAUCAACAGAUGUCUUCCAACAGGAAGACGACAUCUUGAUAUUUGGCUUAAAAGAGAAAAUACCCAGUUGAAAGGAAACAAAACUGAGAGAUACCUCUCCUGUUGCUAGAGCAACAAAAUUUUCCACUGUCUUGGGCACAACUUUUCCAAAGAGGCCAAUCACAAUUCUGCCAACAUCUUUGUCUCCAAUCCUUACAUCAAAGAAGACCUGUGUGCAGUUGAAAGAAAGGCAGAGUGGAAGGUUAUAAGGUGGAAAAUCACAAAUACAAAGCUGGAGUGCAAUGGCACAGUCUUGGCUCACUGCAACCUCUGCCUCUCGGAUUUAAGCCGCUCUCCCGCCUCAGCCUCCUGAGUAUCUGGGAUUACAGGUAUGCACCACCAUGCCCAGCUAACUUUUGUAGUUUUAGUAGAGACAGGCUUUUGCCAUAUUGGCCAGGCUAGUCUUGAACUUCUGACCUUAAGUGAUCUAUCCAUGUUGGCCUCCCAAAGUGCUGGGAUUACAGGCAUGAGCCACAGUGCCCAACCAGAAGAGGCAUUUAAACAAAGGGGCAAAGACUGGAGGAGGAGCAGGAAGGAAGAGGGAAGGAAACAAACGUUACUUAGUGUUGGUCUCAGUUUGUGUAACCCACAUCAUCUUAUAUAAUUAAUGCUCACCACACCUCGGAAAGGUGGGAUAGGAGCUAUUAUCACUAAUUUACAAACGAGAAAAGUGGAAAUGAGAGAGGUUAAGUGAUUUACCAAGGUUUCCCUACUCUAAGUAUGAGAGCCAGAAUUUCAAGGCUGCCUCUAGCUAAACUGGUUUGUCGUUAAUAGGACUCUCCCAGUCUAGCCAGGGAAACCUAAGGGGUAGAAACAGUGUUUUUAGUUCCCCAGCUAAAGGUCAGCAGAAGGAGGCAGUCAGGAAAUGUUAAAUGGUUCAAUGUCAAAUGAUAUUCAAGGAAGACCUGGACACACACAUUCCUACGCAGAAGGUGAGGGAGCUGGCAGCAAACUCUCUCACUCUAAACCCUCUCACCACUGGAUUCAUCUCUGAUGUUGCUGAGUGCCUCUGGGAAACAAGGCCCAGUGCUGGGCCAGGGGUGGGGUGGGGCUACAAAGCUUAGUCUAACAGAAAACACGUACAUGAAUGCUAUAAUAUAAUGAGAAGUCAGGUUUUAUAAGACAAGGACAGAUAAAGUGUCAUGGCAAGGGGUGGGUAUUAUCUGUGGAGAUCAGGGUGCGCUUCCUGGAAAAGGUGAUACCUGGAUUCCAUGCUAGACUUUGGGGAUGGGCACCUCAGUCACUUGUUUUUUUCCUCAAGGCUGCCCUUGAAAGUCAUUUGAAAAUUAUGCAGCAUUGGAGGUGGGAGGAGGUAGACAGGGAGGAGGCAUUCACACGGCCUGACCCAAACCUCUGCGAAAUUAAUCCUGAUUCCAUUUCCAAAGUAACUUGAGAGCACACCCAGUACGUGAGCGGCCAUGUCAAAGAAACUGUUCUCAAACGCAGCUCCACCACUCAACGGCCAUGGAAGCCUCAGCAAAUUAAUUAAACUCUGAACUCCCUCUCUUCAUCUGUAAAAUAAAUGAUGAUUCUUUUCAGGUCUGCACUGUCACAGUAGGGUUAAGAGUGACUUCUGAAAUCAGGGACUAUGGACUAUGUGCUUUACCUGCUGCUGUGGUUUGAAUAUUUGAUCCCAAUGUUGGAGGUGGGGCCUAAUGCAAGGUGUGUGGAUCAUGGGGGUAGAUCCCUCAUGAAUGGCCUGCUGCUUUCUCAGCAGUGAGUGAGUUCUCACUCUGUUAGUUCCCAUAAGAGCUGGUUUUUAAAGGAAGCUGACAUCACCCCCGUCAGCCCCCUCUCUCACCCGCACGCCUGCUCCCUGUUACCUUCCACCAUGGGUGGAAGCACGCUGAGACUGUCACCAGAUGCCCAAUCUUGAACCUUCCAGCCAACAGAACUGUGAGCUAAAUAAACCUUUUUUCUUCAUAAAUUACCCAGCCUCAAAUAUUCCUUUAUAGCAACACAAACAGACUAAGACAUCUGCUUUACCACAUCUAAUAUGCAAAGCCCUCCCAUAUAUUUCUGUCUCCAUUUGACAGAGGAGGAAACGGGGCCAUAGACAUUCAAUCACUUGUCCAAGGCCACCUAGCCACAGCCUCCUGGCCACUACAUGCUAAUGCGUUUGCAAGCUGUAAUAUGUGUGCAACUGGAAGGAUGGUGGCAUUACACUCCCAGUACUGGACCCUGCACAGAUUUGAUGGCAUUGGUUCAAAAAUAUAGGUCAGCAAAUGUAAUUCUGUGGAUUUGGAGCCCAAUGAGCUAGAGCCCCCACCUGAGCCUCUAUGGCUGGGGCAGGAAGCUGCCAGCCUGGCCCAGCAGCAGGAUCUAUGGAUGAAGUCAGUGCCACUAAUGGGCCAUGUGGGCACAAUAGUACUUCACACCUCGCUUAUUUACAGAUUCCUACUUUUAAAUGAAAUCAGAGGUAAACAAAAACACUGCUAGGGAAAACAUUACACUAGAGCGAGGGCCAGUUAAUGUACUUGUCUGCACUCAGAAAAAUUAUUUGUAACAUCAUUUUCCAAUAGAUUUAGUUGUCUUUAAAAGUUCAUGAAAAAGUAAUUUAACAGAGCAGAAUCUGUUUAAGAUGCGCCUACACAAUUAGCUUUUAGAACUUAAUGACAAAUUUGGUAGGGGGAAUAAAAGACAUGUUAAGCAACAAUUCUCAGAGUAGGGUACAUGCUGACUCCCCUCAGUGACAGUGUCACAGACAAGGGAUUAGGAUACUCAAACUCUUGCCUUCCUGCAGCCACCAGCUUCCUCUUCUCUUGGCUCUGUCUUCCAGUGGUUCCCAGUCCACGCUGCCUGCACACCAGAAUCAUCUGAAAGCUUCUAAAAGAUAGGAUACUGAGCCCCACCCAUACAGAUUGUGAUUGACUUGUUCUGGGGUGGGUCUCUGCAUCAGUAGGUUUAAAAAGUUUCCCAAGUGAAACUUAUUCCCAAAUAUUACAGGGGACAUACACUAAAAAAAUUUAUUCGUUGUUAAUCUGAAAUUCACAUCUAACUGGGCAUCCUGUAUUUUAUUUGGCAAUCCUAUUCCCUCUCCACCCACUUUGUAAACCAUCAGCAACUCUGGUUAGUUACACCUCCAAAAUCUAUUCCAAGUCCUUCCCUUGCUCCUCAUUUCAACGAUUACCACCCUAAUCCAAGCCACCAUCUGGACUCUGGCAUGGUGCCCUGAAUGACCUCCCAAUUCACUAUCCACUGAGUGACCACAGAAAUUUCUCAACAGCAUAUAUUGAGAUUAUGCCAUUCUCAGGCUUAAAACCCUUCAGUGGCUCUGACUGCAGAAUAAGACUUCAAAUUUUAAUAAUAAUUGCCUCAAUACCCGCAUGCCUACCUGCAACCUCUAAGGCCCUGUGUGAUCCCGCUGCUGCUCACCCCUCCAACCUCCUCUCAAGUCACCUCUCAUUCUGUGCUGAAGGCACACCGCAGUCCUCUCCACAGGCUCUGAAUGCAGGGAGGGCUCUCCUGUUUGAGGAUUUUUGCACAUGCAGUUGCCUUUACCUCCUGAGUCAUCCCUGCGCUGCUUUUUCUCAUUUUUCAGGUAUUUUUAAAUGUCACAUAAUCUAUAUUAAAGUUUAUUUCCUCCAAGAUUUCAUAAUUGUGCGAAUUUUAUGUUUAUGGCUUUAUCCCAAGAGACCCCGUUCGGCUCUGUGGCCUUGCACAAAUCAUUUCCCAAAAUUAGAUAUGCCUACAAGAUCAAGAGGCUGGGAGUAAGAUCAGAGCUUCUCAAAACCAUCAGCCUGUUUAUCAACCCGGCCCACAGCGUGGCAUGGCCUUUUAUGCGACAUCAAAUGCUGAGUUGGACCUCUUCCUUCCCACCCUGGUCUUCCCCGGCCUCAGGUGGUGUCUGCGGUAGAGGAUGUAAGCAUUCUACUAGUUAAUUAGUCUUUUCCACGGACAAACCCCAGACUGAUUAGGACCACUUUCAGCUGCACCCCGCCCGCUCCGGAUUCAGUUUCCAAGACACUAUUACUGGCGAGUUUUCUAGAAGUGGUGAUUAUGGGCACGAAAUUAUCCCCUCCCUCUCCCUGCGCUCUCCCACUAUCGUCUACCCUUGGUUAAAGAUGCUGAAAAAAGAACUGAAGCGGAGUU